rnacentral:rRNA from 1 species
UACGUAGGUGACAAGCGUUGUCCGGAUUUACUGGGCGUAAAGAGCGCGCAGGCGGUCGUUCAAGUCGAGUGUGAAAGCCCCCGGCUCAACUGGGGAGGGUCACUCGAUACUGAUCGACUCGAAGGCAGGAGAGGGUAGUGGAAUUCUCGGUGUAGCGGUGAAAUGCGUAGAUAUCGAGAGGAACACCUGUGGCGAAGGCGGGUAGCUGGGCCGACACUGACGCUGAGGCGCGAAAGCUAGGGGAGCGAACGGG